rnacentral:rRNA from 1 species
GACGAACGCUGGCGGCGUGCUUAACACAUGCAAGUCGAGCGGUAAGGCCCUUUCGGGGGUACACGAGCGGCGAACGGGUGAGUAACACGUGGGUGACCUGCCCUCAGCUCUGGGAUAAGCCUGGGAAACCGGGUCUAAUACCGGAUAUGACUCCAUGACGCAUGUUGUGGGGUGGAAAGCCUUGUGCGGCUGAGGAUGGGCCCGCGGCCUAUCAGCUUGUUGGUGGGGUGANGGCCUACCAAGGCGACGACGGGUAGCCGGCCUGAGAGGCGACCGGCACACUGGGACUGAGACACGGCCCAGACUCCUACGGGAGGCAGCAGUGGGGAAUCUUGCGCAAUGGGCGAAAGCCUGACGCAGCGACGCCGCGUGAGGGAUGAC